UUGUGCCAUGAAUGAUCUUUCGCAAAAACAUAUUCAAGUACAUGUCUUGGUGCACUUGAUCUCAAGAAAUUCUAUUCCAUGUUAAGAUGUAAAUGUUCGUUAGUCCUUUUGAGACUGUUGGUGAAAAUCGGUUCUUUUAAGUUCAGUGUGUGCUUCAGAUUUUUUUAUAGGCUGUAUCAAUGUGAAGAAAUGGUGUUUAUAGCAAGAAAAAGCUACCAGUAGCUUAAGCCCCAAAGUAAUUCCUUCUCACUGGUUGGGUUCAUGUUGAUUUUUGUUUGACCUAAACCUGUCCCAAAAAAUAAUGAAAAGGAGGCACCGUUACCUCCUCCGUCAAGACUGAGUACGAUUUCGUUCGCCAACGUUGCACAACAGCCUUCCGGUGUUGAAUUUGAUCUAUUAGCUGUGGUGGAAAACUGUGGGGCAAUGCAAUACACCGCUGAUCAGAGUAAGAGAUUUCAAGAGGCCAUAGUUAUGGACAAAAUGAAGAAACCUCUCUUCUUCACUAUAUGGGAAGACUUGGCAAGCAAUGAAGGAGCUGAGUUACUGAGACAAAUGAGGCAACUGCAAGAAUAUCCUAUUAUUCUGGCGAAGCGGAUAGGUACCACAAAAUAUCAGGGUGGAUAAAUGAGAACAAACAAAUGCUAAUCGAAUAUACAGUGAAGAGUUCAGCAGAGUCAGCUUCAUCGCUUAAUCUUGUAGCUGUUGACGAAGAAAUAUUAUCUGUUUCAACUAUUGCUACGCAGACCUCCACCGUGAGUUCACUAAAUUACAAAAUAAAAUGCCGAAAACUGCCACACCAUGUAUCUUUUAUACAAUAUGGAUAACAGUUCAAUAAAUUUUAUUAUGAGGAUUCGUAUACAAAAAUUAUUUUUAGUGUUC